rnacentral:rRNA from 1 species
AGAACGAACGCUGGCGGCAUGCCUAACACAUGCAAGUCGAACGAGACCUUCGGGUCUAGUGGCGCACGGGUGCGUAACGCGUGGGAAUCUGCCCUUAGGUACGGAAUAACAGUGAGAAAUUACUGCUAAUACCGUAUGAUGUCUCCGGACCAAAGAUUUAUCGCCUAGGGAUGAGCCCGCGUUGGAUUAGCUAGUUGGUGGGGUAAAGGCCUACCAAGGCGACGAUCCAUAGCUGGUCUGAGAGGAUGAUCAGCCACACUGGGACUGAGACACGGCCCAGACUCCUACGGGAGGCAGCAGUGGGAAUAUUGGACAAUGGGCGAAAGCCUGAUCCAGCAAUGCCGCGUGAGUGAAGAAGGCCUUAGGGUUGUAAAGCUCUUUUACCCGGGAAGAUAAUGACUGUACCGGGAGAAUAACGCCCGGCUAACUCCGCGCCAGCAGCCGC